rnacentral:lncRNA from 1 species
AUAGAUAUAUUGACGUAGAAGUAUCUCAACUAAGUACAUACAAGUUUACCCUUAAGAAUACCUUCAUUGGAACAAAAUUAACCUAACAAUAACUAAUAAAAUUGUCCAUCCGAUAGUUAAGGGUCUUAGAUACAACUUGUAAAGUUAUCCUCCCUUGCAAUUUACAGGCCAGUGAUAAAGUUGAAAUCAAUCAUUGUAGAUCAAAUUUCUUGGAGUUUUAGAGAUCAAACUCUCAACGUAUUGAAGCAUAACUCCCUAGAAAAUGAAAAAAUUAAGAAGAUUGAAAGGAUGACUCCAUUAACACACAAAUAAUCCUCAAGCACCAUUGUUUUUCAUCAAAGGGCAAUGAUCCCCUGUGGGAAGUCACCUAGAAUAAAAAUCGAGGGCGUAAGAAGAUCAGAUACCAUCCAAACAAAAAAAUUGAAUACGAAAAAGUAAAAAUGUCCAUGUAAAACUACAAUCUCGUUUAGAGGGGCAACCCAAUUCAGGCUCAGAAGUUGAAACUACUGUAUUAACAACCCAAAGGAGAAGUUAAGCAAUUUAACAACACAACAUAGUACUGACAAUCAAUUGUUUACUCAAAUUUCAGCAGUAAGAAAGGUAUUUAUAGUAAAUUUAUGAAGUAUUUUGAUGGUAUCCAUCUUCUUUUUCAAUUUGUAACUGUUUGCUAACUUGUAGAUUGAUGGAAUCACACUUGGAAAAGGAAUGAAUUUCAAAUAUGAAGUUUUGAAGAUCCACUCUGCCAUACAUGUAAAUAUUACCAUCAUAAGCAGCAACCAAAUUAAUCAUAAAGUAGUAAUACUAAUAAUUUAUCUGUGCAGGUCAAAUUUUUGAUAACAAAUGAGAGAGCACUUACAUGUGAAGAGAAGUGCAACCACGCUUGAGAGGCAAAACUCUUUUAGCGCCAGAUGUGUAGAUACCUAUAAUUUCUAAUGAUCAAAGUAUGAGCACCUAAUCCAAAAAAAUGUGUACAAUCAAGUAAAUUUUAUGUAUUUCGAUAAACAACACACAAAUUUAACAGCCAAGGAGAUAAUUUCCAUGAAAUUGUUUGGGGAAAGAUCACAUCUGUUAUUUCUGGAAAAAGCUCCACGAAUAUGUUCACUCUUCAACUUUAUCACCUCUGUCAACAACAACAACAACAUACCCAGUGUAGUCCCACAACUUGAUUGUCUAUGUCAAAUAGAGAUAUAUAUGUUUUCUCUCCACACUUAAGAAUCCAAAUGAACCAAAAGGAAAAAUCAGCUAGUAAAAAUUUGAAUUAUCUUUCAUGAAAUGUUUAAAUAACAAAUUUACUAAAGUAUUCUUGCAUAUAGAUCAAGUAUUAACCAUAUUUCUAGUGAGUUGCUGAGACUCGCACACAAAGGGAGAAUCAUGUUCAUCUAUGUCAUUACAAACAUACAGAGCAUCAAACUAUGAACACAAUGCUUUUGUGUCAUGAAUUUGUAGAUGCACUUCUCCUUGUUCUUUUGGUAAUCUUCACUGAAGAGUUGCUUUUCUUAUGAAAGCUUUUCAUUCAUCGAAAAUAUCUAUAUUCUUAAUAAAUAAAGGUACCAAUAUCUCAAAUAAUAAGAUAACACUUGUAUUGUUGAUGUGGCUUUCUAUCAUGUGUUUUGAGUUUAACCACAGGUUCUAAACUUCAUAAGACAGGUUAAUUCUCUUGCAAAAAUAAUUGAGAUGGCGUAAGAGGCUAGGGUAUAAAACUCAAAGGAUUGCUAACGUGGUGAACUCCCAGGAAGACACUUAAGGAACAUAAUAACAAAAGAACUAUGAUCAAAAUAAGAGUAUAGUUUUCUCCAAAAAUUCCAAUAAACUUAAAUUAUCAAGAACAAACACAAAACAAAAAAAGAUCCAUAAACAUAAUAAAGAAGCCUAAAGUUAUAGUUUAUCAAUAAAAUAAAAUAAAAAGCCUGAAGUAAUGACUGAAGAUUAUCCUAAGAUAGAGCAAGCUAAUAAAAUAAUGCAUAGUGAUAACUCGACAACCAUAAAUAAGAGAGAACAAAGAAUUCUGACUUGCAUGUUUUAGUAAAUAUUUCAUCAAAUAUAACAAAACAAAAGGCCACAAGGAGUCAUUAGGAUUAUUUGCUAAGGAGACCUAUGACUGGGAGGAUUCUCUAUUUGGUUAAUCAGUUGUACUAAUGCUUCGAUUGCAAAUGAAUUAUCUUACAUGUAAAGUCUAAGACAAAUUUAAAAGAUGAUAUGUUAGAAGCUCAAGUAAAGUCUAGUUGCAAAAUAUAGAUAAGUAGGAAGAUAAAUUUAAUAGUAGAAUAAUCAAUUACCUUUUAUUUGUCUAUAAUGUGCACGAUAACAUGGACAUUGGGUAGGUUAACAGCAAGCCAGUAUCUCACGGAUCAAAUUGCAAGCGGUGUUAAAUUUACCUGGACACAGAUCCACAACUAAAUCUUGAUAUCCUCACGGGUGGUCUCUAUUGCAGGUAACAAAAUCUUCUAUCGACGGUUAAAAAUGGACUUGAAAGUAACAGACUAUCACUAUGAGCUACUCUAGUAGUCAAACCUGAUAAAACCUGAAACCUUAGGAUAAACAUCUCGAAAUUCGACCAUUACAUAUGCAAUCGAGCUAACUGCAGAGGCAGAGGAGAACUUCCCUAAAAAUCCUAGAAUGCAUCAUCUGACCAGUAAUGACAAUAAUAUGAUUUCUCUUGAGCUCCUUAGGAAGUUGGUCGUGGAAUUCAACAAAAAAAUAAAGUGAAAACUUAAACGACGACGAUCCUUAAAGCUUCAAACUUCAUAGCAAAGCCUGAUAAGUCUAUGAAUGACUAAUAUUGUCUUAAAUUGAAAUAAACUCAGGGAUAAACAACAAGCAUGAACAAAGAGAGCUUACAAAAUAGUUAUAUUUUUUGCUCUUCGCAACUGAGACUGUGAAUUAUCAUCAAGAUCUUUAUGAGUUUUGUCGUGAAGCCAAUUUCAAUUUUACUUUGAGAAUCAAGACUCCAUUUUCCAUAUGCAGUGUAUCUGUUUACAAAGCAAUAGUUAUGAUCAAUCUAAAUAGCAUAGUCUUUUAAAAUGCUUAGAAGAACUAGUCAUUUCCCCUUCAAUUGAGAUUUGAGGCUAACAUCUGAUAUUUACCAGCUAAAGUUAACAAUAUGCCUUCUUUUAUAAGAAAUACUGAAGCAAUGUAUUUGAAACCUCUCCGAGGAAAUAAAAUCAUAUUCCCAGUGAAAUCAAGUUACAUCCAAGUGACUGACAUUUGGGAAGAUAAAAUCAUAGUCACAUUCUUAUAUUAGUUGGUGGUAAUUAUGUCCCAAAGAAAGAGAACUAAUUUUUACAAAUCAUAUUAAAUUCUUACAUUAUCUAGAGGGUAAUUAUGUCCGGAAGAAGAUAGAACUGAUUUGUACUUAAUAUCACCACAGACCAUGUAAAGUACCUACCAUAUCUGAUUGAGUCUUUCUAUUUUGAAUUUUCCAAUUCCCUUCCGACUCACCUACUUCAAAGUUUGAGGUGCAAGUAGUUGAUUGUGUAGCCGCGGAAGCAUGUCCUCCAAAAUGAUGGAAGACAAAAUAGUAUAAAUGAUAGUAAAUCAAUUUAUCUAUGAAGGUAUGUAUACCUAUACAUACACAAGCAAAAUUAUAUGGAAAUUUAACUUUUCUGACCUUUAUCUCUAGCUGAUGAAGGAAGUUCAAACCACACUUUGAUUUUUGUCAUGACUCUGAACUUGUGACAAAGAUAGUGUAUUAUUUGAAUUCUACAAGAGUCACCGCCUUUUUGAUUUAGCUCUUUUAGCUUGCUUUUGCAAUAGAAAUAGUUGAUUUCUUUGUGGUGACAUUUAUGCAUAUCUAGUAUGGCAUAGCAUAGCAUAUUUCUAUGUGCAAGCCGUUGUUCCUUCAUGUUUUCAAGUUCCUUGAGCACAUAAUCAUUGUUUGUCGACUUGUAAAAUCAUGAAAAGAAGCAAAUCCCAACAAAGUCGAUGGAAAUCCUGUAAUACCAACUGUUUAUUUGUGCAUUUUUUCUGUUUCAAGAAAUUAGUAGAGAACAAUUAAAAUAACAGAUGCAUUACUCUAUUUUCAGAAAUACUCAUGCAUGAAGCAAUAUCAUCUCAUUGAGUUAACAAAUGUCAGAGUAUUCACAAAGAGUAAGAAUCUUAUUGCAAAAUCAUUACCUGAGCUAUACAAGGACAUGGCAUGUUCCUUCAUCUAACACAACAAUGUAGGACCUUUUUACAUUCGAUGAUACCUUCUUAAUUCUUUGGUGGUGUAUUGAUGACUUAAUGUCUUCUCAAAUUUUCACUUUCACGUAUGAAGUAGAAGUC